UUUCUCCCUUUGCCCGUAAGCAGCAAUUCAAUGCUUCCCCCACUCCCUCCAACGAAACCGUACUCUCCUCCCCCCCACUCCCCACUCCCCCCUCAAUCAAUUGAAUUUAAUUUAAUAUACUCCUUCUAAUUCCCCUUUUUCCACGGCAAAGUAGUAGCAGCAGCAGCAGCAGCAGUAGCAGUGGCAGUAGCAGUACUACAACACUCUGCUUCCUCUCUCCACCCUUAUUCGCCAUUCCUCGUCCCAUUGCAUCAGGGUUUUGAGAUUUUUGAGACGGGAAAUGGAAGCGCCCGAGGAGGAGGAGGAGGAGAAGAAGAAGAAGAAGAAGAAGAAGAAGAUCCCCGUUGUGUAUUACUUGUGUCGGAAUCGACGCAUCGAGCACCCGCAUUUCAUUGAGGUGCCCCUCUCCUCCCCUGAAGGGUUGUAUCUCAGAGAUGUGAUUAAUCGCCUUAAUUUGGUGAGGGGAAAGGGAAUGCCCACCAUGUAUUCGUGGUCGUGCAAGAGGAGCUACAAGAACGGAUUCGUGUGGCACGAUCUCUCCCACGACGAUCUCGUCCUCCCCGCCAACGGAGAUGAGUAUGUUCUCAAAGGUUCUGAACUCUUAGAUCAACCCUCUUCAGAUCGGAUUCAUCCAAACAACGGGAACCCAAAACUGAAAAACCCAAAGCAACCCCCCCAGCAAGAAUCACCCAAAUUUUCUAGAUCCAAAGAAGCUCCUUUUGCUUCCUCCUCUCCUCCUACUGUUGUCGUUAGAGAAUCCAACCCUCCGCCUUCUCCUCAAGAAGAUGAAAAAGAGGAGGAAGAAGAAGAAGAAGAAGUGUCGUCUCAAGAGUACGUCUCUUCGGGUUCGGCGGAGUAUAGAGUAUACAGGCCAAUUGGUUCUUCGGACGCAGCAACUCAAACUGAUGACGAAAAUAAAAAAAGUGAUCACCACGAUAAGGAGAACGAGAAUCUCACUACGGUUGUUUCUACUGACAAUGGCUCGACGACUCUUGAUUCUAUCAAUAAUCAUGCUCGACUUUCGAAUGGUAGCAGGUCAGAGACUUUAGAGUCUUUGCUUAGGGCGGAUGCUAGAAACAAGAACAUCUUUAGAAGACUCAAAGAGGAGGAAGUGCUAAUUCCCACCGGGCCAAAGAUGAAGCCUGGUAAUAUCUUAAUGCAGCUGAUCACUUGCGGGUCUUUCACCGUGAAGGAUCACGAAAGCUAUGGUAUCGUCUCAAAUUACCAGCCAAGUUUCUCGCACAUGAAGUUCCAAUCAUCGGUAUUUGCUCGCUCGAGUAUGCUUGGAGAGCUUGAUUGCCUUUCGAAAGAUCCAAGAUUAAUGGGAUUGAAAUUGGAAGAUAAGGAGUAUUUUAGUGGUAGCUUGAUUGAAACUAAGAAGCAUCGGGAGGAUAUAGGGGAAAGGAUGCCCGUUCUGAAACGAUCUUCCUCCUACAAUGCCGAAAGAAAGUGCAGGAAGUGCAAAUUGGAGUCCAGAAGGCACGGGGAAGAGAUUGAGGACACAUCAGUUACAAGAUGCCUCCCUCGAGCUAUCAAACUUACACCUCCAAAGCAGCCCAAAAAUGAAAAAAUUACUUCUCCUAUUUCCGAUUGCCCGAGGUGCUCGUCUGUUGGGCCCGAGUGUGACCGCUCCUCAAUAGGAGAAAGCAGCAGAAGUAUCACUCAUGCUGCCUCCGUUCAUGGAUCAUCCAUGAGGUUAGAAUCCUUGAAAGAAGAAAAGGAGAAGCUUAUCAGGAUCGAGGAAAGUUAAGUCCAUUCUUUGGCUUCAAAGAAUUGUUGUUUAAGCAGAGAUGUUCGAAGAAGUACUAACAACACUUUGUUGAAUCUCCUAACCAACUUCGUGCUGUACCAGAAGCAUAUAUUUCAAAUUUGAGUCUGCUUUUCGAAUCCAAAAGAUCAUUUUAGCUACAGCAAAAGUUCUUGGUUCUUCAAGAGCCAGGCUUAUGUCGGGAGCCCGAGUUAUUAUCCAGUCAAGAAUUCCAUGCGAUGAUAGUGCAGACGGCUCUGACACCUGAUAAGCAUGAUCUUCUGAUGCUUAUAGUAUAUCCUUUCUUCAUCAAUCUCCUUGGAAGGGUUAGGUUAAAAGGAAGCAUUAUAUGAUUUGAAGAGUUGUUACAAAUCAAAUGUUGUUAUCUUUCUCGAACAUUCAUGUUAAGUUUGAUUGCUUUCUUGAAAACGGAAAACUACUAAUGUGGUCAACUUCUGGUUUGUUGCUUCCUUUGUUCUCUACAAAUUGGUCGGUGAAAGACGAAUCUUUCGUUAGCCAUAAGCAGGUUGUUUUGAUAAAACUCUUAAAUGUUUUUCUCAGAAAAAGAGAGAUAUUUUGUUA